rnacentral:rRNA from 1 species
GACGAACGCUGGCGGCGUGCUUAACACAUGCAAGUCGAACGGAGUGGCGAACGGGUGAGUAACACGUGGGUGACCUGCCCUGCACUUCGGGAUAAGCCUGGGAAACUGGGUCUAAUACCGGAUAGUGUGGGAUGGGCGCGGGGCCUAUCUGCUUGUUGGGGGGGUAAUGGCCUACCAAGGGGGCGACGGGUAGCCGGCCUGGGAGGGGGGACGGCCACAUUGGUCCUGCGAUACGGCCCAGAGUCGUACGGGGGGCAGUGGUGGGGAAUAUUGCACAACGGGCGGAAGCCUGAUGCAGCGACGCUGCGUGGGUGAUGACGGCUUUCGGGUUGUAAACUCCUUUAACCAUCGACGCGGUAGCUGGAGAAGAAGCACCGGCUAACUACGUGCCAGCAGCCGCGGUAAUAC